rnacentral:rRNA from 1 species
UACGUAGGGUGCAAGCGUUGUCCGGAAUUAUUGGGCGUAAAGAGCUCGUAGGCGGUUUGUCGCGUCUGCUGUGAAAAUCCAGGGCUUAACCCUGGACCUGCAGUGGGUACGGGCAGACUAGAGUGCGGUAGGGGGAGAUCGGAAUUCCUGGUGUAGCGGUGAAAUGCGCAGAUAUCAGGAGGAACACCGGUGGCGAAGGCGGAUCUCUGGGCCGUAACUGACGCUGAGGAGCGAAAGCAUGGGGAGCGAACAGG